rnacentral:lncRNA from 1 species
CUUACCCAAAGAUGUUUUCAACUUCGCAGUGCUCUUGAUGAUGCCACAGGCCUCCAGUCGAGCCAAAAACCUCGACCUCAAAGAAGAAAACUUCUUAUGCUUUGAUGCCUUCGACGAUUGGGGUUUUCUCAUACCUCCCCACAAUGCUCUAAGCAAUAUCUGCCCCUGAAUCCAUUGUCCUUCUAACCUUCUUAAUUUGUUUCACCUCAUCAAAUAACACCCUAAUGGGGAUAUUGAAAUCCAUACCCAUAUCAGAUACCAUAGCUUCAACCUUUGGUUCUUCAGUAUCAACAUUAUCAGAAUCAGACUCAAAAACCUCAACUUUUGAUACAAAGGCAUCAAUUAUAGAAGGUCCC